GCUUAUAGCAUAGCGUUCAUGCACUGGAUGCCAUUAUAACUCCGCAGUUAAGUGCGCUCAUGAUAGAGUAGUAUUGGGAUGGGUGACCGCCUAUGAAGUCGUAGUGUUUUAAAAA
rnacentral:rRNA from 1 species